rnacentral:rRNA from 1 species
ACUCCUACGGGAGGCAGCAGUGGGGAAUAUUGCACAAUGGGGAAACCCUGAUGCAGCCAUGCCGCGUGUGUGAAGAAGGCCUUCGGUUGUAAAGCACUUUCAGUAGGGAGGAAGGUAGUGUAGUUAACACCUGCAUUAUUUGACGUUACCUACAGAAGAAGCACCGGCUAACUCCGUGCCAGCAGCCGCGGUAAUACGGAGGGGUGCGAGCGUUAAUCGGAAUUACUGGGCGUAAAGCGCAUGCAGGCGGCCUGUUAAGUCAGAUGUGAAAGCCCGGGGGCUUAACCUCGGAAUUGCAUUUGAAACUGGCAGGCUAGAGUCUGUAGAGGGGGUAGAAGUUUCAGGUGUAGCGGUGAAAUGCGUAGAGAUCUGAAGGAAUACCAGUGGCGAAGGCGGCCCCUGGACCAAAGGACUGAACGCUCAGAUGCGAAAGCGUGGGG